AGUGAACGCUGGCGGUAGGCCUAACACAUGCAAGUCGAACGGCAGCACAGUAAGAGCUUGCUCUUACGGGUGGCGAGUGGCGGACGGGUGAGGAAUACAUCGGAAUCUACUUUUUCGUGGGGGAUAACGUAGGGAAACUUACGCUAAUACCGCAUACGACCUACGGGUGAAAGCAGGGGAUCUUCGGACCUUGCGCGAUUGAAUGAGCCGAUGUCGGAUUAGCUAGUUGGCGGGGUAAAGGCCCACCAAGGCGACGAUCCGUAGCUGGUCUGAGAGGAUGAUCAGCCACACUGGAACUGAGACACGGUCCAGACUCCUACGGGAGGCAGCAGUGGGGAAUAUUGGACAAUGAGCGCAAGCCUGAUCCAGCCAUACCGCGUGGGUGAAGAAGGCCUUCGGGUUGUAAAGCCCUUUUGUUGGGAAAGAAAAGCAGCAGGUUAAUACCCCGCUGUUCCGACGGUACCCAAAGAAUAAGCACCGGCUAACUUCGUG
rnacentral:rRNA from 1 species